rnacentral:tRNA from 1 species
GCGGGUGUAGUUUAGGGGUAAAACCUCAGCCUUCCACGCUGAUGAUGAGGGUUCGAUUCCCUUCACCCGCUC